AUUUGGAUUUGCCUUGCCCAAAGUGAGGAGAGGAAAAAUGGUUAAGAAAGUGUGAAGAAAAGAAAGGUGAGAGUUGGAUGGGCCAAAGUAGAGUAGUGUGGCCCGCGCGUGUAUCAAAAAGUCAGCAAUGAAUGAAUGAAUGAAUCUUGAAAUAAUCCAUUCCACGAUUAACGAUCUUCCACUUCUUUCUUGCUCCGACUAAUCGGAAACGUAAUCUAAACAAAAUGGCUCAACAGUCAUUCACAGAAACCCCACUCAUCUCGCCAGAUCCAUCUCUUUCCAGAACCGUCUCUUUUAGCCGCCUCAACGCUCAGGCACCAGCGUUUGUGCCCACUCCACGGACCGAUUUGCAACAGCCUCCUCCGCCGUCUGGUAUGCUACAUGUUUACUCACCACCGCCCCCGUCUUCCUCGUUCCACGUCCCUGUCCGCCAUCAUCACCACCGCCCUCAUCAACUUGACCAUUCCGACGAAGCUGAUCAGAAAAUUUUGAAUCAGGUGGAGUAUUAUUUCAGUGAUUUAAACUUAGCUACUACCGAUCAUUUGAUGAGGUUCAUCAACAAAGAUCCAGAAGGUUUUGUACCGAUAUCUGUUGUUGCAUCUUUCAAGAAGAUUAAGUCCCUCAUAACCAGCCACACCCAACUUGCAAAUGUUUUGAAGAACUCAUCAAAACUUGUAGUUAGUGAAGAUGGAAAGAAAAUCAAACGCCAGAAUUCCCCAACAGAGUCUGAUAUUGAAGAGCUACAAGCUCGCAUUGUUAUAGCUGAAAAUCUACCUGAGGAUCAUUGCCAUCAGAAUCUUUUGAAGGUUUUUUCUUCUGUUGGAAGUGUGAAGACUAUCCGUACCUGUCCACCUCAAAUCUCCAAUAAUGGGACUUCUUCUGCUUCAAGAUUGGGAAAAAUUGAUGGCAUACCUUUAUAUAACAAGUUGCAUGCAUUUGUUGAAUAUGAAUCUGUCGAGCUGGCUGAGAGAGCAGUCGCUGAGCUAAAUGAUGAGAGGAAUUGGCGGAGUGGCCUCCGGGUUCGUCUAAUGCUUAGACACACGUCAAAACCUACUCAAGGACGGGGAGGGAAGGGACUUGAUGUUGAAGUUAGCUGCGAGGGGGAUUAUGCUUCUGUCUCUGAGCCACAGAUAAUUGAGAAAGAAUUAGAGGAUGCUUCCUUUCCUGAUACUCUGGUGCAUGAACAUGUGAAUGCGUGAUUCCAUCAAUGUCGGGCAUGGCAAAAGGGUAUUACUAUUGCAUGGUCUUUUUAAGUAAAAAGAGCAUGCAAGAUUGAGUAUUGUGUGCUCUCUAUCAUCCCUUGUUAACUCCAUGAGUAAAAUCAUACAGCAGGGAGAAGAGCCUAGUUAUGACAAAGAGAGCGGACAGAAGAAAGGGCGUAGUCGGGUGCGGGCUAAGGGACGCGGCCGAGUUCAUUGUCAUCAAAAUAAUCGAGUAAAUCACUUGGGAACUCUCCCUUCAAAUAAUUCAUAUUUUACUGAUCAAGUGGUUGCCAAGCAACCUCCGGGUCCUCGCAUGCCAGAUGGUACUAGAGGUUUUUCAAUGGGUA